UACAGAGGUCCCAAGCGUUACUGAGAAUCACUGGGUUUAAAGGGUGCGUAGGUGGUCCGUUAAGUCAGUUGUGAAAUCCCCGGGCUCAACCCGGGAACUGCUUCUGAUACUGGCGGACUUGAGGCCAGUAGGGGUCACUAGAACUGACGGUGGAGCGGUGAAAUGCGUAGAUAUCGUCAGGAAUGCCGGUGGUGAAGACGGGUGACUGGGCUGGUUCUGACACUGAGGCACGAAAGCUAGGGGAGCAAACAGG
rnacentral:rRNA from 1 species